rnacentral:rRNA from 1 species
UACGGAGGGUGCAAGCGUUAUCCGGAUUCACUGGGUUUAAAGGGUGCGUAGGCGGGCAGGUAAGUCAGUGGUGAAAUCUCCGGGCUUAACCCGGAAACUGCCGUUGAUACUAUCUGUCUUGAAUAUCGUGGAGGUAAGCGGAAUAUGUCAUGUAGCGGUGAAAUGCUUAGAUAUGACAUAGAACACCGAUUGCGAAGGCAGCUCACUACACGAAUAUUGACACUGAGGCACGAAAGCGUGGGGAUCAAACAGG